UACAGAGGUCUCAAGCGUUGUUCGGAUUCAUUGGGCGUAAAGGGUGCGUAGGUGGCGCGCUAAGUCGGGUGUGAAAUCUCGGGGCUUAACUCCGAAACUGCAUUCGAUACUGCCGUGCUUGAGGACUGGAGAGGAGACUGGAAUUUACGGUGUAGCGGUGAAAUGCGUAGAUAUCGUAAGGAAGACCAGUGGCGAAGGCGGGUCUCUGGACAGUGCCUGACGCUGAGGCACGAAGGCCAGGGGAGCAAGCGGG
rnacentral:rRNA from 1 species